rnacentral:rRNA from 1 species
CUCCUAGUAAAUAAUACUAGGUAGACUCUGCCCAAUGACAAUUGAAUGGCCGCAGUAUUCUGACUGUGCUAAGGUAGCAUAAUAACUUGUCUCUUAAAUAGAGACUUGAAUGAAGGAGCUGACACAGAAUUUUCUGUCUUAAUUAUAAAAUUUAAUUUACCUUUAAAGUCAAAAGGCUUUAAACUUUAAGGGGACGACAAGACCCUAUAAAACUUUACCUUUAAGCAUGAUAAACUUAAGAGUUGUUUCUUCAAAUAAAAGGUUUUACUGGGGCGGUAAUAGUUUAUUUAAUAUCAUCUAUUAUUACAACUAGUUGUAUGAGUUUUACAAUCUUAAUUAUAAAAUUAAUAACAAGUUACUUUAGGGAUAACAGCAUAAUAUUUUCUUAGAGUCCUUAUCGCCGAAAUUGUUUAUGACCUCGAUGUUGAAUUGAAGUUCCUUUAUAGAGCAGCUUUUAUAAAAGGNAGUCUGUUCGACUUUUAANUCUUC